AAAUCGGUGACGGCGCAGUGCGGGCGGGUAAAUGGCGCCGUUGCGCUGCGCUCGGCACGCCGCCCGCUUCCAGGGCCGGAGGGGCUUUAUCCGAUCCCGGCCGCGUACCCACGGGAGGCGGCGCGUCGCCGGUGCUGUUGGCGGAAGGUACCGCUGUUUAUGUAACGGCGCCGCGGGGCCGCGCUCUGAAAAGGCCGUCACGGGCUGCUCAGACACGAGCACGCCGGCAGGCAGAGUGCGGCGGUGCGCGCGGUCCUAACCCCGUCACGAGGAAGGAGCCUGCCGCUCUGCAGGUGGUGUGCCUGUCCUGCGGGCCGCACGCUUUGCAAGAGGUCAGUUUAAGGUGAAGGAAAGCCUGCCGCUCCCCUCACUCGCCUGCGUUUAACGUGAUGCUGCGCUGCUGGAGUAAGUGACCGGGUGUAAGGACCCGGAGCACCGGCGGGUGUUGUUCUGCGGCUGCUUUGGGCCUUUAUUGCUGGUGGAAUGUGAGCGGUAGCUACCCGCUUAUGACUUACCGAUGCAGUGCUAAAGUCUGUUGUUAUGUGUCUUCCGAGGUGUUGUCGCUCGAUCCUUAGCUUCGUCUUGAUUGUUGCUCGAAUUCACUGCCAAAAUGCCGUUAGAUAACUGUCAGACAAUUGGUGAUAACGCCGGGAAGCGCUGAGUGUCCAAUAAAACAACUAGGGAAGGUGCUGUUCUCAGUUCAUCACUGCUUUUGUGAGCGACAUCGAGAAAAUGAAAGAAAUGGAAACGCUUUCAAAUCUGUGUAUACAAGUAUCCACAAUCGCUACUUAAAACUGUGAUCCACGAGUGAUGUGAGACUUAAGUUUAAACUCGCUUUCUAAGUUGCAAUCCAGCGUCUUGGAAUCGUAGCUCGCGUUCUUGGGAAUUGAUUCUAACACAAAUGAAAGGAUUCUUCCUCUUUCCUUUCAUUUUCAUCUUACCAUAACUAUAAACAGGUAUCUGGUGGGCAGAUUCUUUGGAUGUUUGUUUUUAUCAAUUCCCAGAGUUAAUCUGCAGGCCCUGCGCUUUUUCCAUGUGUCCAAAAUGGAAAGCAAACACCAAGCAAUGGAGUGGAAGCUUCUGUGCUAUGUAGCACAGUGUGCCAGCUCUUUAACUUGGCAGUAUUCAAACGAUUACAAACCAGCUCAAGCCAGUUUUUGUGGGUUUUUUUUUUUUUUUUUGAUUGGUUGUUUUUUUGUUCUUGUUUUUUGUUUGUUUGCAAGAAAGGAUACAGAAAAUAAAGAAGAAAUGCAAAAUUAGGCUUUGAGAUAAGUGUACCUAUGUUUAAUAAACAAUUACCUUUUUUUAGGAGGGCACUGCAGCCAAUUUUCUUGCCUCUGUUUGGAACAGCUAAGCUUCAGAUGAGUGGGUAUAUUGUUAAUGUCAAACUUUUUCCAUUUGCUCUUUGGUAAAGUAUGAAUUAAUCUGAUUGGUAACCCGACUGAGAGGUUAGAUUUAUUUUUUUUGUCAGGAUCAAAGAAAGGAUAUUCAACUAAUCUAAAAACACUUAGUGAAACUUAUAGGAUCAAUAACAGUUUUGUGCAUGAGACUUGAGUGGGAGAAGCUUCAUGAAUAGCAAAAUGAAAAUAUUAAUUAGUUUCCCACUGAUUAAUUUGUCUUAGCAAAACUUAAAAAUGUGAGGGCAAAUGAUAGCCAUCAGGGAGCUGCAGUUACAUUUGCAGCUUGCCUACCACUACCUCAGAAGAAGGCCUUGCUGCAACAAUUUGUGUUGAUAGUUCUCUGCCAGAAGUUACAGCCAUUGCAGCAGAAAUGGCAGAAAUCAGGGGCUUGUUUGUUUGUUUUAGUGCCUCAGUCCUCAGCAAAGUCCAGCUGCUAAGGUUAAGGUGGACAGUGAAAAUGAGUUAAAGCUACGACAUUCCAUGGAGGUGGCUACAUGCUCAGGUUUCUAUGCAAUUAACAACAACAAUGGAUUAUUAUUUUUUAAAAUAUACCCAGGGAAGCCUUAAGUGAGCAAAGUGAAGACUUGCUUUAAGAAAAUAGAUGUCUGAUAGUUUCUGAUAAUGUUGAUUGCUGUUUUGGUAGAGAGUAUUUACCUCAAAAUGCCUGGAGGAAAGUCCUAUUUACAUGCUUGAACUUUAAUGGAAGUUUUGAAAGGUGAAAAUGGGGUAAAGAUGAGAUAUUUCUUGCCAUAUGGUGAAGUCAUUUAGAUCAUCAUCAUCUGGGGACCUCAGACUGGCCUCCAUGGGUUUUCUGCAAUAAGGUGGGAAUGUCUGAUGUUACACAUCAAGAUAGUUCAUGUGUCUGGCUUACACCAAAGAGAAGCAGCAGCCUUUUAUUUUUUUUCCUUUACUUUCCACUCCCUCCCCACCCCCUUUCUCCUUUCUGCUAAGGAGUCAACGCAAACCCUGUGAUGAUUAAGUAAAUUAUUGAUAUAAGAAAUCCUGGAAAGUGUCUCUUUUACUUGUACUCUCUGCAGAAGUCUUCUUAUGUCCUGUCCAUUGUGCAUUGGAGACAGUACUUUUUAUUGCUGAAGCACGUGAAUCUUAAAAGGAAGGAUAUUCUACCUACCCAUGUAUUGAUCUGUGGUAUGUAAUAUGGGUGAGUGUGACAGAUUAAAAUGGCACAUCAUAGCCUGAUAUAAUUGACAACAAAGCAAUUAAUUAGAUAUGACUAGAAUUUUUCUUGCUCCUGUGGAAGAGGUAAUAGUUAUUUAAUUUAUAAUUUCAAUUCUAAAUUAACUUCCAUGAAUGUGUUUGGUAUGUCUGACCAUUUUUCCCUUCGUCUUUCUUUUUUUCUUUUUUUCUCCUGAAGAUAUAAAUUUUCCUCAACUUUCCUCAUAGGUUUAGAAGAGAGAGUGUCUUUCAAAGUAUCUUCAUUUGCUUUAAACUCUCAAGGUGUGUUUAUUUGUAUGUGAUGUCCAGAAGAUAAUAUUCAGCUGAGAUCUUCUCAAAGCUAAACAGUGGAGAACAAAUAGAGGGGAAUAAUUAUUUAGUUUGUCUAAGGAGUGUUCAUGAGUGCAUUCCAAAACAAUUGGUUUGUCUGUGUGUGAGUGGUACUACAUUUGUGUUUGUUUUAUGGUCUACCCAAUUCCAUUGCUUCAUUUUCUUUCUUACUCUACAGAAAAGCAGAGGUAAAUGGAGUUGAUCCUGUGCAUUUCCUUGCUUCUUCUAGAAGUUAGUAUUUUGCUUCCUACCCAGGUAAAAAGAAAACGUAGAGGACAUUUCAUUUAUUACAGGAUCUGUUCUACCUCACGGUAUGAAUAUAGCUGCCACGGUUAUGCAAGUAGAAACUAAAAUCAACUGACUGUUCAGGUUGCAGAGGACACUGAGGAAGCUGACUGCUGUCUUCUCAGCACAGGCAAAGCAGCUGUUCUCAAAUAUAAAGAUGAACCCGAGACCUGACAGUGACUUCUCUGUUCCUAGUUAGUUAUGAAAGUCUGUCUGGGAGAAGAAUGGAGAUCUGUAUAUUAAAGGGAAGAACAAAGGAGAGUGAAGAUUGGAGACAGUACAAGAGCAGUUGUUGUGGAUGGUCUUGGAUUUCAGUCAUACUGGUCCCUGAUUCCAAAAGAGAGAAGAGUGGAAGAAGGGGAGUUCCAUUUCCUAAAACUGAGAAGCAUCUGCUGGAGUUAUUAAGAGUUUUUUGACCAAGUUCAACAGCAAGUCACCUUAUGGCUGAUGGAUUCUUCCCUAAGCAAUUCAAAACAAUACAGUUAGAACAAAUUUCUCCUUUCUAAAGAAGCAAUAUUACGAGGCAAAAGCUAUUUUUAUAAGUGGGAUAACUUUGCCACCGCUCCCCAGUAGUAAUAACUGUUAAGCUACUUUUAGCUGCCUGGCUAACCAAGGCUUUUAUAGCCCCACUUACAUUAUUUAAAAUACUUUCACAAGUGAUCCAUUCAUAGAUAGAGAAAUCUUUCAAAUGACUCAUUUCACCUGAAAAACACAAAGGCUUAGAAACACAAUUUCUUAAGAAGCUUCAAAGCUGACCAAACUGAGAUGUUCCCAUUUUCAGUGAUUGUUUAAGGUUUUCCUCCUGCAGAGCGAUUUAAAUUGAGGUAGCAAACUGCAUAGAUGAAAACAAGCAGACUUUCAUCUUAUUUCCAAUGUUUAUGACAGACUGGGCGGCGCUUGGAGGAAGAUGCAUGUAAAAACAGACCGAAGGGUAAAAUACUGGCAAGUCUUCAAGUGCCAUAAAUUGAGCAUGCGUCAUGCUGAAGGGCCUCCUUAGCAGAGAAAAACAAUCCUUGUAGAUGCUUAUCUCAGAGAUGUUGCACGAAACGGCUAAGGAUUUUGAGAGAAGUGAUUCAGGUGAUGGACUUGUUACGCUUUCUCUACAGAUUGGCCUGUACCAUUGAAAAUUAAAGAAAAUGUGAUAACAUCUAUUUCAAUAGGGAAAAUAUGCUCUUUGGAUUGGGUUAAUUAAAUCACGUUAGUUAAAUUUAACUGAGACUCAGCCAUUUCUUCUGUCUAGAAGCUCUUCAUCGCUCCUGGGGCAAAUUUUCCAAAGCCUUCAGAUUCACAAGAUGUUGUUCUUGCAAUGUUGAGAAGUGAACGUUUACUUAAUGUACUGCUCAAUUCUUUUUACUCUGUGAACUUUCCUGCUAAAAAGUACAUUCAAUUUACAUCAUCUCUGAUUUUGAUGAAUUUUAACUCUGUAUACUAUACCUUUUCUAUAUGCUGAAGAAAUAUAUUGUUCACUUUUUCAAAUGUUCAGCCACAACAUAAUUUUGUACUGUGGUGAAGUUUUGUUCAGAUUCAGAUAACCAUGAUGUUAACUAGUUUUUUCUCCUUUCCCUUCAAUUUCUGUAAAAAAAAACUUGAUGUUGCCCUUGUUUUGCAUGUUGACAGUAAGAUCAGAAUAGCUGUCUCUUCACAUGGAAGCAUUUAGGCACUAAGAAAUUAAUUGUAAUCAUGUAAUCCACAAGAAUUGUAGAACUGGGGUUGAUGGGCUCUUCUGACAGGAUCAGCUACAUCAGGUUGCUCAGGGCUGAGUCUGACUAGGUUUGAAUGUUUCUGAGGAUGGAGGCAACACACCACCUCUGAGCAACCUGUUGCAGUGUUUGAACAGCCUCUGAAUAGAAAAGAAAAAAAAGAAAAGAAUCACAUGGUUAACUUAAAUGGCUUGUGUUUCAGCAUAUGCCCACUGCCUCUACCACCUUCACUGGAUAUUAUUAAGAGUCUGACUCCAUCUUCUUUAUUCUCUCCUAUAGAAACUGAAGAUCCUGUUCAGGAAAGUAUGACGAGGACAUAUUAGAAAAAUGAAUUUCAAUCAACUUACCUGUAUUUAUUGCAAAAGCAAUUUGUCUUACUACACGGAGAGAGAAAAGAGGUAUUUAUUUUGAAAAUGGAACUGAUGGUAAUAGCAAAAAGCAUGGGAAUGUCAAAGGGCACACCUAAAGGACUCGUACAUUUGCCAGAUAAACCAGAAUUAGAAUUAUAUGUUAGUUGGCAGCUACUGAUUAGAAGCGUUUGUAUGGGUUCUAGCUAGAAUGGAGUUAAUCUUCAUACCAUCUGUUGUAGUGUUGUGGUUCAAAUUUGUGACCAAAACAAUGGUGAUAACAAACCAAUAUUUUAGCUUUGCUUUUUUUUGUAUUUAUGACAGCCUUCUUUGUAUUUACACAGUAUAAAAGCCCUGUCUGUUUCUCACUUUACUCUCACGAGACUGUGGAUGCAUUUAACCAGAGAGGGUAUACAACCAGAGAGAUGACUCAGACUAACCAAAGAGCUAUUCUGCAUGAUGGAGCAUCAUGCUCAGCAGUAAAAUGGAGGGAACAGAGCUUAGGAAAGUUCCCAUCAUUUCCUCGGGAAUUGGUAGGACAUUGGUCUACCCAUGGGAGGUGACAAGCAAUUGCCUCUGCAUGAUUGCUUUUGCUUUCUUUUUUCUAUUACUUCUUCAUUUAUUAGAUAUCAUCUCAACUCAUGAGAUUUUGCACUUCUAGUCUUCCUUUUCUUCUUUCCUGUCCUGCUAGGGGUUGGAGAGAAGUUCGAGUCUGUGUUGCUUAGUUGCCAAUGGGGGUUAACCCACAGCAGCAUUAAAGCAUUACAUGAACAUAGUUCAUGUAAGUAUACAUUAUCAGGGGAGCACUUAUGGUGUGUAUUUAAAACCUAUGAAAUAAUAGAACUGAAAUAUGUUCUGUGUGCUUUUUGUGCUGUAAAGUCUAUACAGGCAAGGAAUGUGGAACAGGCAUAGAGAUUACCCCCAGUCUGGAGAUCACUAUGAAAGGAGGCAACACCACUGAACCCCUUGUCUUCCUUACCUUGUCUUCCUUGUCCAUUCAGUAGUUGAUGUUGUGGACUGACAAGACACCUUUAAACUGCUCAUAGCGCUUUGCUUGCUCAUUUCAUAUCCCCUACAUGCUUUCCCACCUUAAAAAAAAUAAUUACAUCCCGUGUGUGAUUUUAAUGUCUCAUGGAAGGGCUGCUUUUCUUUUUAAGAGAAAGUUAAUAACUAUAAUAGUCAUCACUGCUAUUAUCAGAUACUCAAAAUAGUUGGCUUUGUUUAGCUAGGGAAAAAUCAUUUUUGGAGGGAACUGCUAUGCUCACAAAAAAAUUUAAGUAAAUGUUAUGUAUGUGAGGUUGACACCCCAAGGAUCCAAUCCUUCAGUAAGAAGCUGCACUGACAUGCAUUCCUUAAAGUGAGUGAACUCUGCACAAUGUGACUGCUGGGCAAAGCCUCAUCCUUGUUCAGGAUUCAAUAUGGGAAGCACAGAUAAUGAGGACAGCAGUCCAUACAGAGUCUGAUUGGAUGAAGUGAAUUUUCUUCCAGAUGGUGCUGUGGUUUGGAUAUGUAACUUAAAUAAUGCUGGUAACACACUAGGCUGCUGCUGAGCAGUGGUUGCACACAAUGUUGGGGCUUCCUCUCAUUCCAGCUCUACCUCACUUGUUGGUGCACAAGAAGGCAUGCUUCCUUACCUGGAAGAUUCAUUGCCUUUUGUGCCUUUCUGCAUCCAUUGAGUUUGCUGAGGAACUUGUUUUCAGUCUUUUCUAGGUCAUAAAAAAUGGAGAUGCUAACAGAAUUUUCAACUUUAGUCUCAUUUUAUAGACUCAUAGAAUCACAGAAUAUCCGAAUUGGAAGGGACUCACAAGCAUCACUGAGUCCAACCUCUGGCUCCACACUGCACCACCACAAAUCCAAACCCUACGUCAAAGAGUGCUGUACAGACUUCUUUAACUCCAUCAGCUUGGUGCCAUGUCCACUGCUCUGGGGAGCCUGUAUCACUGCCCCAUUUCACGCUUGAAUAGAUUUCUCUGUUUCAAAAGUCUGCAAGUCUAUACAAGCACAUCUUAGUGAUCAUUUUUCCUGCCUCCCAUUCUCCUUAGAUGAGGCAUAUUUUAUCAGUCAGUCUUGAUAAAAGGGCUUGAGUUAUAAAUCAGUGCUGGUAUAAAAACUCAGAAGAGCAGCUUCAAAUCUCUGUUUAAAGAAAAUCUUUUUUUUUUUUUUUUCCAAAUGAAGACAUACAUACUUACAAAAGUGAAGGAUCUGGCACCCUAAAAAUAUAUAAGCAUGCAUUUAACAGUAAGCAUGUUCUUAAAUCUACCAGCACUCUGAAAAUUAAAACAUGCUUAUUUGAUUUGAGGUUGCUGUCUCUAACAGCUGUGAAGAAAGCUGAUGAUGCAAUCAAAAUUGAGAAGGCUAUGGCUUUAAGGAUGUCAUGUUAAAAAUAGCAUCUUGCUCCUGCUGUGAUUACAGAUGCCAUGAUAGAAGAUCACUUGUCUUUCAGGAGGCUGAUUGACUGAUUCACUGAUUUUUGUUAAGCAUCAGACAUGAAAUAGUUAUGGAGAAUCACCAUACAAAUGGGCAGAGUUAACCUAUUGACAGGCUUGAUGAUGAUGUAAGGAAUUUCACUGGAGGAAUUUGAGUCACGAGGAUGGGGAGUUGAUUUCUGUCAGACUCCUUCAGGGCUUCCAAGCAAUGUUAUCUACUUCUGAACAUUGCACCACUUGAAGAAAAUGCUUCCUCCUGCUUGAGAGAUUAGAAUUACUGGAAGAACAAGAUGAAAUACACCUGUUGUCAUCAUUGCUUGAGGUGUAACUGAAGAAGAAAUGGCUUGAGGCACUGAAGCUGGCCCUGGAAAGGGUGUAUCAUCAUCUGCUUUGAGUUAAGACAAAUCCAUGCUAUGAAUUAAUCAUAGAUUUCAUUGUACUUUUUGCCCAGACAUGUUCAAUAAUUGAGUUUUACUUACAAGUUACUUCUGAGGAUAUAACUUAGACUAAUCUCUGCAGUACUUCACAAAAAAAGAGUGAGCUUGCAUAAUGCUCUAAGCCUGGGUGAGCUGUUUCCUUUACAUGACUUGGAAAGACUGAACAUGUUCAUACUGCAGACCAGUGCACGUAAGGCUGCACAAAACUUCCAUCUUUCAGGCAACACUGUGGACUGUCUUGGAGUCACAGGCUGGUGACCAGCAGUGCUCCUGGGAAGAGAGUAGAUGCUGGGAGCCAGCCUGCCCACGUUUGCUGUCCAGCCUUGUGCUUCUUUUUCCAGGAUAGGCGGAGCAUAGGGGCAGUCUCAUGGCGUACCCUCCCCCAACGUCUCUGUCUGCACAAUGUACUCCCAUGCCCUGGGUCUGGACAUUACCUGGCUGUUGCCUUGUGAUUUUUAAUUUAAUCACUGCUUCUUCCUCCUUAGUCAUCAUAGCAUCAUGCAGUGUAAAAUAUCAAGACAGAAUUUGAAGACACAAAUAACAAGACACUUUUUUUUUUUUUUUUUUUUUCCUGGUAGCAAUAUUCAUCUUUUCUGAUGAUCUCAUUUCUGUUAUUACACAGGGUGACUUGUCAUUACUUUCUACCUCCUGCAUUUCAAAAUGUGGUAUGUAGGAUCAGAUGUGGCUCUGACAGUGUGACAAGUGCCUUUGCCACAAUUACUUCAGUGUUUUCACCACCCACAAGGUGACAUAUUCUGAUAUAUGAACUCUGCAAUGCUAGAUUUUCCUAUCAGCACACGUUUGAGAGUGUUUUGUACUGCUGCUUGGAGUAUUACAACAUUUCAUACAGAAAGUAAGUUUAUCAUAUCCACAAUGAUAAAGGAAAGCAUAAAUGCAUGCUGAAUAUUAACAGUUA